UACGGAGGAUGCGAGCGUUAUCCGGAUUUAUUGGGUUUAAAGGGUGCGUAGGCGGGAUGCCAAGUCAGCGGUAAAAAUGCGGUGCUCAACGCCGUCGAGCCGUUGAAACUGGGUGCCUUGAGUGGGCGAGAAGUACGCGGAAUGCGUGGUGUAGCGGUGAAAUGCAUAGAUAUCACGCAGAACUCCGAUUGCGAAGGCAGCGUACCGGCGCCCAACUGACGCUGAAGCACGAAGGCGUGGGUAUCGAACAGG
rnacentral:rRNA from 1 species